GCCGCCCGCCGCCCUGAGGGCCCGGGCCCGCAGCGUCCCAGGGCGGCCCCGCCGCCUUCCUGCGGGGCAUGGCUGCGGGGCCGCGUCAGCCGCCGCACCGACAGACACCGACACACAGACAGACAGACACCCGCAGACAGACACAGACACACACCGGGACACGCGGACGAGAGGUGCAGCAUAAAGAAAGCGGCGGCGCGGGGCCUUUGCACUAUUUUUGGUGGCGGUUCCUGUUGCAGGAAAAGAAAAAAAAAAAAAGAAAAAAAAAAAAAAGAAGCCGGAGUGCGGGCGAGCGGGACAAUACAAAACAGAACCACAUGGAUGGGCAGGAAAAGGGGGAAAGGGAGAAGAGCCCGGAUCCCGGGCGGCCGCGAGGG